rnacentral:tRNA from 1 species
CACCGCGUAGUGUAGUGGUUAGCAUACUCGACUGACAAUCGAGAGGACCCGGGUUCGAGUCCCGGGAAGCGGCGA